CUUCCCUGUCUUGUUCCUGGGCGCAGAGGGCUCCUCCGGCGCCGCCGAGCUGCGCCCGCUGCCUUCACACCCCGGACAUCCGCGCCACACGGACCCAGACCCCAGGAGGCCUCACCCCACAGCAAGAGAAAGACCACGAGCAUGGACAUGAUGGUCGCGCUCACUCCGGUGCAGUGAGUGUCUGGGUGAUGGAUCCUAGAACCUGUUCUAGAAGGAGACGCUGAGUUCUCCCCACUCUACCUGGAGCUGCUGAGGUCAAGUGGAGAGUGCCGGGGCUGAAGCCCAGCGAGCCCCUCCCUGUCACACCACACUGCACAUGUGACACCAAAGGUGGGGUUCACCUCUUUUCAGACUUUCUGCGGUUGCCCUCACAUGGGCUGUCUGGAGGUGCACCCUCACUCUUCCUGAGGACUGUGGUUCCUUCUCCAUCACUGGUUCAUUCUGCAUGGUGUGACCCACCACGGCUCUGGAGUCGGAUUUCCACCCAGGUCAUUCAGCUGAGACCUGCGCUUCCCAGGCCUACCCGUGACAUGUGCUCAGUUACCUGAGCUGCUGGUGGUCACUCAUGUGGCUAUAGCCUGCUGCCUGGAGGCCAGGCCUCCCGCUUCCCCUGCCUCCCCCUCUCCUCACCACAGCCUGUUGGGAUGGAACAGGACAGGGGUGAGACCGUGGUGCUUUCACACUCAGCCUCCAUGGACAUCCUGUCAUUCCCACCCGGGGAGGUCUGGUCCCCACCCUGGGUGUCCCAGCCUAGCUCCGCUACGAGUGUGAGGGCCCAGGGCAACCGCCUAGCCCUCAUCUGCCCCCUGCACUGCAUCCUCCCCACUCAUUCAUUCCACAGGCAUUUAUUGAGCAUCUACUGUGUGCCAGAUGCAAAGAAGACAGUGGGAUAACUGGGCAAGGAGCAUUCCAGGCAGAGGGAACAGCCAGUGCAAACAUGGGAGAUGCGGGUGCAGUGAGAAGGAGCAGAGGAGA
rnacentral:lncRNA from 10 species